GACGAACGCUGGCGGCGUGCUUAACACAUGCAAGUCGAACGGUGAAGCGCCUUCCUUUUUGGUGGGUGUGGAUGAGUGGCGAACGGGUGAGUAACACGUGGGUAACCUGCCCCCUUCUUCUGGAUAACCGCAUGAAAGUGUGGCUAAUACGGGAUAUUCUGGGUCUGUCGCAUGAUGGGUCUGGGAAAGAUAUUGUUUCGGUGGGGGAUGGGCUCGCGGCCUAUCAGCUUGUUGGUGGGGUGAUGGCCUACCAAGGCGGUGACGGGUAGCCGGCCUGAGAGGGUGGACGGUCACACUGGGACUGAGACACGGCCCAGACUCCUACGGGAGGCAGCAGUGGGGAAUAUUGCACAGUGGGCGCAAGCCUGAUGCAGCGACGCCGCGUGAGGGAUGGAGGCCUUCGGGUUGUGAACCUCUUUCGCCAGUGAAGCAGGCCUGCCUCGUUUGUGGGUGGGUUGACGGUAGCUGGAUAAGAAGCGCCGGCUAACUACGUG
rnacentral:rRNA from 1 species